rnacentral:lncRNA from 1 species
UACCUUCGUCUUGUUGAGCUCCUACAGUAGAUGAUUUACGAAAUUGAUCAAGGCAAUUAGAAUGUCGAUUACUUGUGUUGCACAUAUAAGGCUGACAACCCUUCUCUCGCGAAGAAAAAAGUAAAAGGACAGCAUUGUGUGGAUGCUCCAUACAUAUUGGACACCUAGCUUCUUCCCAUUCUCUCUCAUUCACAACCUUUGGCAGAGAUUUCUGGGAAUUGAGGUCAGAAUUCUUUG